rnacentral:tRNA from 1 species
GCGGGGGUGCUGGAGUGGUCAAACAGGCAGGGCUUAGGAUCUGGAAGUCACGUCGAGGAGAUGACUGACCAAAGAGAAGAAACCCUGUGGCGCAGGCCUACGCGAGUUCGAACCUCGUCCCCCGCA